UCAAGCAAGAAAGAGCACAAGGAGAAUGCCUUGGCACUAGGAGCCGAUGAAAGACGUGGUAAGCUGCGAAAAGCUUCGGGGAGGCGCAAACAGCCAUCGAUCCGGAGAUAUCUGAAUGGGGAAACCUACUUGAGCAAACCUCAAGUAUCCAUGCGUGAAUCCAUAGCGUAUGGAAGGGAACGCUGUGAACUGAAACAUCUAAGUAGCAGUAGGAGGAGAAAGAAAACUCGAUUUCCUAAGUAGCGGCGAGCGAACGGGAAAGAGGCCAAACCGAAGGACCUGGUUCUUCGGGGUUGUGGACUGCAUUUAGCAUUGCUGAGAGAUAGACGAAUGGUUUUGGGAAAGCCAGCCGUAGACGGUGAAAGCCCGGUAGACGAAAUCUUGAAGCAGCGAGCAGGAUCCAGAGUACCACGAGACACGAGAAACCUUGUGGGAAGCCGGGGGGACCACCCCCCAAGCCUAAAUACUCCCUAGUGACCGAUAGUGAAGCAGUACUGUGAAGGAAAGGUGAAAAGGACCCCGGGAGGGGAGUGAAAGAGAACCUGAAACCUUGUGCUUACAAACAGUCAAAGGCCUACGGGCUGAUGGCGUACUUUUUGUAGAACGGUCCGGCGAGUUACUAAUGCCAGCGAGGUUAAGUGGUCAGAAGCCACGGAGCCGAAGGGAAACCAAGUCUGAAUAGGGCGUAGAGUUGGUAUUAGUAGACCCGAAACCGGGUGACCUAUCCAUGUCCAGGUUGAAGGAACCGUAAAAGGUUUUGGAGGACCGAACACACAUGUGUUGAAAAACGUGGUGAUGAGGUGUGGAUAGCGGAGAAAUUCCAAUCGAACUCGGAGAUAGCUGGUUCUCCUCGAAAUAGCUUUAGGGCUAGCCUCGAGCUGGAGUCUAACGGAGGUAAAGCACUGAACUGACGCGGGGCCCAAAAAGGUUACCAACUCAUAUCAAACUAAGAAUGCCGUCAAGAUACCCUCGGGAGUCAGUCUGCGUGAGAUAAGUCGCGUGGACAAAAGGGAAAGAGCCCAGACCGACAGCUAAGGUCCCAAAGUACGUGUUAAGUGGAAAAGGAUGUGGGAUUUCAUAGACAACUAGGAUGUUGGCUUAGAAGCAGCCAUACAUUUAAAGAGUGCGUAAUAGCUCACUAGUCGAGAAAACCUGCGCCGAAAAUGUAACGGGGCUAAAACACGACACCGAAGCUACGGAUUUCCUACUAGGUAGGAAGUGGUAGAGGAGCAUCCUGCAAGGACGAAGCCAAAGUGAGAGCGAUGGUGGACGAAACAGGAGAGAGAAUGCCGGAAUGAGUAGCGAGAUACAUGUGAGAAACAUGUAGGCCGAAUAUCUAAGGAUUCCUGGGUAAAGCUAAUCUUCCCAGGGUUAGUCGGGGCCUAAGGCGAGGACGAGAGUCGUAGUCGAUGGAUAACAGGUUGAUAUUCCUGUACUACACAUAAUCAGAACUGUGGGGACGCAGGAGGAUAGGGAAACCGGGGAAUGGAAAGACCCGGUCAAGCGCAAAGCUGUGGGAGAUAGGCAAAUCCGUCUCCUGUAAGUGAAGCGUGAUGAGGACUGAAAAAAAGUAAGGAAGUUUCCGAAUCCACACUGCCGAGAAAAGCCGCUAUUGCGUUAUGUGUACCCGUACCGUAAACCGACACAGGUAGAUGAGGAGAAAAUCCACAGGCCGACGGGAGAAGUGUUGUUAAGGAACUCGGCAAAAUGACCCCGUAACUUCGGGAUAAGGGGAGCCUCGCAAGAGGCCGCAGAAAAGAGGCACAAGCAACUGUUUAGCAAAAACAUAGGUCUAUGCGAAACCGUAAGGUGAAGUAUAUGGGCUGACGCCUGCCCGGUGCUGGAAGGUUAAAAGGAGAGGUCAGCGCAAGCGAAGCUUUGAAUUCAAGCCCCAGUAAACGGCGGCCGUAACUAUAACGGUCCUAAGGUAGCGAAAUUCCUUGUCAGGUAAGUUCUGACCCGC
rnacentral:rRNA from 1 species